GAUGAACGCUGGCGGCGUGCCUAAUACAUGCAAGUCGAGCGAACAGACGAGGAGCUUGCUCCUCUGACGUUAGCGGCGGACGGGUGAGUAACACGUGGAUAACCUACCUAUAAUACUGGGAUAACUUCGGGAAACCGGAGCUAAUACCGGAUAAUAUAUUGAACCGCAUGGUUCAAUAGUGAAAGACGGUUUUGCUGUCACUUAUAGCUGGAUCCGCGCCGCAUUAGCUAGUUGGUAAGGUAACGGCUUACCAAGGCAACGGUGCGUAGCCGACCUGAGAGGGUGAUCGGCCACACUGGAACUGAGACACGGUACAGACUCGGACGGGAGGCAGCAGUAGGGAAUCUUCCGAAAUGGGCGAAAGCCUGACGGAGCAACGCAGCGUGAGUGAUGAAGGUCUUCGGAUCGUAAAACGCUGUUAUUAGGGAAGAACAAAUGUGUAAGUAACUAUGCACGUCUUGACGGGACCUAAUCAGAAAGCCACGGCUAACUACGU
rnacentral:rRNA from 1 species